rnacentral:rRNA from 1 species
AUUGAACGCUGGCGGCAGGCCUAACACAUGCAAGUCGAACGGAGCGGCGGACGGGUGAGUAAUGCCUAGGAAUCUGCCUGGUAGUGGGGGAUAACGUCCGGAAACGGGCGCUAAUACCACAUACUAUCAGAUGAGCCUUGGUCGGCUGAGCUAGUGUGGUGGGUAAAGUCCUACCAAGGCGACGAUCCGGAACUGGUCUGAGAGGAUGAUCAGUCACACUGGAACUGCGACACGGUCCAGACCCCUACGGGAGGCAGCUGUGGGGAAUAUUGGACAAGGGGCGAAAGUCUGAUCCAGCCAUGCCGCGUGGGUGAAGAAGGUCUGCGGAUUGUAAAGCACGUUAAGUUGGGAGGCGUUACCAACAGAAUAAGCAACGGCUAACUUCGUGCCAGCAGCCGCGGUAAUUC